AGGAGGGAGGGAAGAAGGGAGAAAGGACUGACUGUGGGUGAAGAAUUCAGAGUCAGCCCAGCUGAGGGCAGGUCGAAAAGGUUAAACAGGGACGGACGAAUGACGAGUUCAUCAUUCUGAGGAAAUGCAUGAAUAUACUUGAUUAAUCAGAAAUGUCUCCAGUAAGUUGAGAGAGGAAAACUGACUUAUCAUUUUAAGGUGGGCUAGCUAAGAAAAAAAAAAAGGUCCCAAUUUGAAACAAAGUCAGAUCACUGGGCAGAAAGAUUCCUGAAAUGAUAAUUUUAAGUAAACCCCUGGUCAAAAGCAAGACACAUUCAUUCGUUGUCUUGUUUGUUCUUUUAUUCAUUCAUUCGUUAAAACUAAGAUUGGAGUCAGCCUGCCUGGGUUCAAGCCGUGGAUCCUUCAAGCUCUGUGACUUGCUGCAAGCUCCUAAAGCCCUCUGUACUUCAGUUACACAUUUAUAAAGUUGGAAUAUUAAUAUAGUAUUAACCUGUAAGGUUGGUGUGGGAAGUAAAUGACUUAGUGGAUCGAAAGCUCUUAUAACAGGGCCUGGUACGAAUGCUCCAUCGUGUGAGGCAUUUUGCUCUGUGUGUCUCUGUAUUCAGAGCUCUCUAUGUAUCAGCCACAUUUGAAAUACUGGGAAUAAAAAGACAAAGGUGAUAUGACCCUACCCUCAAGAAGCGCGUAGUACAAUGUGGAAGGUACACGGGAGCAAACCAGGACAGUCCAACAUGGCAAACGCUAGGAUAGAGUGAUGUGCCACACAGUUGCCGGGGAUGGCGAGGGUGGUGAGGGAGCCAGGCUGAGUCUGUCCUCUACAGAUCCCAGCAAAGUUCCCCCGGUUCCAUCUGGUCAAUCCUCCCUUAAGUUCCUUGUUUUCUUUUGUUUGCAUCCCUUAGUGUAGGAAGGAUAUUCCAAUUUCUUCUAGAUCUUUCAUUUAAAAGGAGUAAUUGCCUCAUUUCACAAGGAACUUGACUGUUUAAAAUUCUAGCUCUCUUGAAUGGGAAAAUAGAUAAAGGGGUAUUUCUGAGAUGUGAGCUGAGGGGUGUAUUGGGAGUAUGCCCCGCCUUGGCCAGUGGGAGUAGGAAGGAGACCCUGGGAGGGGAAAGCAGCUGGGAGAGAACCACUCCUGGGGAAGGACAGUCAGAGAAUAGAGCCAGGUUUUAACUACACCGCGGAAGCAUCUCAGGGCCUUGGUGAAGCCGUGGUAAAGCCAAGGAGGAAAGGAGAGGUGGGGACAGGUGGCGGAAGGCUACCUUCUCUUUCUUCAAGGCUGUAAGGCAGGGAGUAGAGGGUUGGUGCACUGGAGAAAAGGUAGCUAAUGUAAUGGGGUUUCUGCCUCUCUACUUCUAGUGUAACUACCCGAUGCCCCUGUUAGUCAAUGACCCACGUUGGGAAAGGUGGUGACAUAUCAUAAGCUUCAUUUGUUUUUCUUUUUGGAAGUCCAUUACUACGUUCAGGACACCCUGCCACUAAGGAAGUUGUGGAGGGAAAACCUGGAACCUCUCUGAACCGCAACGGAUUUUUGGAAGCUCUUGGCUCUUUCUGCUGCCAGCCCUGUUUAUAAAAUGCCGCUACUCACAGGAACAAUGUACUGUUUUAAAGCAUCUCAUACGCGUCAUUUCCUUUUGAUAUUCACAACAGCCCUGUAAGGUAGGCCUUAUGGAAUGGGCCUUAUUGUUAUUUUUAUGCAACACAUGCUGAUAAGUGAGGAUAAACUCGUCCAAAGGUGAGGGGCAGAGACAGAGCUCUGGUCUGGGUGUCCUGGCCUCAGAUGCAAGUUUGCAUUUAUCUCUCUGCAGGCCCCUGCAAGCAGCGAGCAAGACAGAUGGCUUACCUCCUUUCCUUCUUCCACAGAAAGAAAACUUGGGCAGAGCCACCUCACAGAUGGGAUAGGAGAAAUUCAACACAGACGAGCCUUGAGACAUGAGAGCUAGGUCAAGAAAUAGCUCUUUGAUGUCCUCUCCUGGAGGAAAGAGAAGAACAGCUUUACUCUUACUGCGUGUUUCACUGUGCAUCAAAGGCAUUCACAGUAUACAGCAGCAUGAGCUAAAGAACCUUUUGUUUCCAUUAAUCUGCUCUGUGUGGGGAACAGUUUACUUCUUUCCUUAGUAAAACGGCAUUUAGGCAAUGCUGCGGGGGAUUAUGACGAGACCCGGGGUAUGAAGGGCGGCUGCUUCUCAAAAUACCUGCUUGGAGCAAGGUAGUUAAUCGGCUGAGCUCCCCACCCUGGUGCUAUGGCCUUUUCAUGUGAAGUCUGCAGGUCUGGCUUCUGGAAUUUCUCAGCUGCAGAGUAUCAUUUGUUCCCCAUGAUGGCGGUGGGGUGUGGUCACGCCUACAUACACCUGCUGCUGUCACCAGGGAGGUAUUGCAGCACAGGUACACAGGAAGCUUCGGUGGGUCCCGUGGCCGUGGCUCCCAAUUCUCUCUGCCUUUUUCUCCAUUCCUCCCUUUUAUGUUCCACCCACUCUUCCAUUUCUCUUUUCUCUCUUCUUCUCUCCCCAUAACAUUUCUCGAGCUGCUGCUAGAGUCCCGAUACUGGAUAAGAUUCUAGAAAUACAAAGUUGCGUGAGAGUUCUUGAUUUCUGUGAAUGUUGCUUCCACUUUUCUGGAACGAUUCCACAUGCUAAGUUUAUUCAACCUCUCUACUUUGAUUUUGAUAUAACUGUUUUGGAAAAGGAGAUAGUCUAGUAGCUAUAGCAAAUAUAUUGACUAACUAUAAUUGCAUGAUCAUAUGAUGAACAUUAAACAAUCAGAAAGUGCUCUAGCUUAUUGAUUGGGGUAGGGGAGAAAAUAUUACAUCUCCUCCUUGCCUAUGUCAAGGUUUAAGAAUUUGUAUUAACUAUUUGGGAUACAAAAUAACACAAAUGACAAACCGUACUGCUGGUAGUAGAUUUAUUUGUUGCUGAGAUAACUAAAAAUGUUAGGAGAUCCUGAGUAGACAUUAAUACUUAAUCUCAAAAUAUUCCCCCCCCUCUUUUUUUUUUUUUUUUUUGCUGCGUAUACUGAUUCCAGAUGCUUAUAUCGUCCAAAUGAGUGCCUAGAGUCUUUUUAAUACAAAAGUACAGCUUUAAGUGAGAGUUCUACCCUACCUGGAUAUAACCUAGAGAGAGAUUUAAAAAUGAAGAUGUAAACAGUGUUAAUUCUAGAGAGUGGUGAGGGAACAGCAGUUUAGCCAGUCAUUAUAGUUAAUGUAAGUCAUUGGGGUUGUGGAGUUGGAAGAGGCUGUGUAAUGUUUUAUUUCAUGCUAAUCAUUUUUUUUUACUUACUCAGAAUUAUUCCAAAUCUAAUGUUGAUAUUUGAUUUUAAUUGCUUGGAACACUUUUCAAUAGAAAAGCCAAAAUCUUGUAAUGGAUCUGCGAAGAAGAAAACAAUAGAUUAGUUGUGAGUACAUUGUAUAUUCUGCAAACAUAUUCAAAAUUUGCACCAACAUUGUUUUCACACGAAUUACUGCAUUUAUUCAAAAGCAUAUUGCCCAACACUUUUUAAAAUAAGCCUGUGAUAUUUUCAUCAGCUCCCCCCAGUGUCUUCAAAGCCAACGUCAUGUUCACUCUGACAACAGGGCCUCCAUCCAUGGAAUGAACAGUGUCUUGCUAGUUGGGUUAUGUCUUUACUUGUUAACGUUUUUAUCAUAGAAAAAUGUUAUCAUUGCCCAAAUUCUUCUAGUUCCUGAACAUUUGGCUUUAAAAUUGCUCAUGGAUUGCAUAGAGCCUUUAAUAAAGUAUCUAUUAUUAUUAUCAAAACAGACGGAGGUACAAAAGUUAGGAGAGCUUGAGUAGACAUUACUACUUAGGCUUAAAAUAUUUUCUUAAAAGAUUUUCAAAGUUAAGAUCUGCCUUUGUAAUUCCAUUUUAUCUCAUCCCAUCCCAUCCCAUCCCAUCCCAUCCCAUCCCAUCCCAUCCCGUCCCAUCUCAUCCCAUUUAAUGUAAUACUCCCCCCAAAAAUAUUCCACUAUGUACAGGCAUUGUGCUAGAUAUGAUGAAGCUAUAAAGAUAAUAUUUUCUGCAUAUAACUUCUGCUCAUUCACAAAGCUCCAAUGGUUUAUCUAUGCCUCAGAAUAAAGUCCAGAAAUGAGUGACUGGCUCCAACUUCCAUCCUCCACAUCAUAAAUCCAUCCUCCAUUCCUUGAGACCAACACACCAGCACAUUCCCACCAUGUUUGAUUUGCUUGCGUGCUUUCUCCCAUUUGCAAUGGUCUUAGUCUUUUUGGCUAUUAUCUAAAUCCUCAGGUCUUGAUCAUUCCCAUCUUCUUUGUGAAGGCUUCCCUGACCCCAAAUAUUCUCUUGUUUCCUUGAAUUUUUAAAAUGGUGAUGUCUGGCACUCUCGGUAAGUGUACAAACAUGUGUCACUCUGUACUUUGCUACCUGGCUUAUCCUGCAACACUGAAUCUAAACAUGACAUUCAUUAAAGGCCAGAGCUAGUUUCUUGUUUUGUUUUGUUUGUUUUGUUUUCCAUUUCCUUUUCCUUUAUGUUUCCCACUGGGCUGGAGACAGGAGACCUAUUUUUAACAGAGGAUUACCUUGUACUAAUAGCCGAGCCUUGUACUUUAUGAGUGUUUUCCAUUUAAUUCUCUAGGUACCCCAGCACCUAGCAGAGAGUCUCACAGCCUCACAGUCUGACACACAGUAAGCACUCCAUAAAUGUACAUGUUGAGUGAAUGGAUGGGCCGUGUAUUGGAGCUGUUUCUCAGCUCCAAAUCCAGCCCUCUUUCCUCUGAUUUUUAACUGGGCUCUCGGUAAUCAUGUUUCUCCUUCGCUGUCUGCCAGUCAAGAUAGCAGGGAGAUGGAUGCUGGAGUUGAAGAAGGGACUUACUCCUUCUUGAGUGCUUUCUGGGAGUGUCACUGGUGAUGGACCAACACCUUGGCAGUGGAAGUUGGUUCCAGUUGGCUCUCUUUUGCACCUUCCCAGCAUCAGCUGACACUCAGCUCUGUGGGGCCCUAAGCUACUGCAAUAACAGCACAUCAGAAGCUGUCACCCCUUCCUUAGCGGUCUGUCUCAGCUCCAUAGGGUCCUUCUGUCAAGCAUCCAGUUUCUAAUCCCCACAACCUCUGCCUUUUGGUCUCCCAGCCCUCAGCGGUCCUUUCUUUGCUCUUUUGGUUCUCCAGCAACUGGUUCUCUAACCAACUUCCUAUGUCAAAUUCUCUCUGUUAAAAUAACUGAUAUGGUCUUCGUUUUCCUGACAGGACCCAAACUUGCAGAAUAAAUAAUAAUCUGAAGAGAUACACCUCAUUUUACUGUUAUGAAAAUAUGGACUGGGAGAUGUUGUAUUAACUUAUCCAGAUCCCCACACUAGAAAGUGUCAGAGUCAAGAUUCAAAACCAGAGUUAAAAACAAACAAACAAACAAAUUGCUCCCUGGUAUUAUGCAGUGAAACUCACAAAGUAGAACCUCAACUACAUAUGUUACUUAUUUGAUUUGUAAGAUUGCCCAGAAUAUUUUGUGUGCAGGCAUAUGGCAUCUGGUAGUUCUGUUUCAUAACUGAUUUCCAUUUCAGCUUAGCUAUGAGCUCACAUUUGCCAAUGAUAGUGUUCCAGACAGUUUUAUCAUCCACAUUGCUGACCUGGAAGAUGCAUCAUUGUCUAUGAUAUCUGCAAUGGAAAUGAUCACUAGGCAAUUUCAGCCUUGCAAAUCUAACGACACCAUGUUUGCCCUGGCUCAGUCCUGAGGAGUUGGAACCUUGGCAGUUACCCAAGCUCCUCUCAAGAAUUCUUUCAAGAAAGGCACGGCUCUGCUGAGGUAGGAUUCCUGCAACAGCCCCUAAAAGCAUAUUUUUUCUGUUUCAUUUCCUGAGCAUUGACUCUCUGCCAAACACGAUCUUAGGCAUGAAAAGAUUUGAGAUGAGAGUUCAGGGACGAAGAGAACAAAGCUGACGAGAUGAGCAAGGAGAGCUAGCGGAGGAUGGGGAGCAGGAGACAGGACACGCCUGCAAAAAACUCCCAAUGUGGAGAAGAACGUGGAAGAACAGCAGAGCUUGGCAGCUGUGAGUGGGCGGCGUGGGGCUGGGAGAGCCAAGACCAGAGAGCCCGGGAUGCGCAGGAGUCCUGGGCUGCCUGCAGGCUCGCGGGAGCUCUGUGCUGGGCGGAGAGAAUGAUUUGAAGAUGGGAAUGCAAGCACGCACUCAAAUUAAAAAAAAAAAAAAAAAAGAGUUGUGAUUAUAAAUAAAAGGCAUUUGGCGUCAAUGAAGGAACUACUUAAGAGAUCAGCAGCAUCUUUUACAGCCGAAUAAGCUUUACCUCCCUGUACGGUCUGUGUUUGUAAGGCAGUCACCGUUCACGCUCUCAGGAAUUUUGGGUGUGGUUCUUCCAUGACUGUGACUUGGGCGGAUUGUGUGGUGUUGUGUGUGUUUCGUGACUCUCCAUAAGCCGCCAUGACUUUUGGAGAUGGAAAGUCAACUCAUCCAUUUUCUUUGUUUUCCUAAACACUGAUUUUCUUCUGGACAGGCUGCCUGUGUUCCUGAACAGGGGCACCAAUACAGGCUAUAAAGAACAACUUAUUCUUUUAGGGGAGAGAAGUAGAGGGUUCUAAGGAAUAAACUCUGUGAAAAAUAUCUCCAUAAGAAUUUGAUAAUGCGCUAAAAAUUCCCUUCACUAAUCCUGAAUUCCCCGCUCUAGCAUCACCUUGCUUGGUUCGUUGCACUGCACUGUGCAAGCCGGUUAAGUGUUCGAGGAGUGAAUGAAGGAAGGCGGAUAAACCAUCAGGCAGGGAAAGUGAAGGGGCCGUAUCACCCUAGCAGUCGUUGAACUGAUUUUGGACACAAUCAGCUUGCUCUUGGAUCUCCUCAAAUGUUUUGGUAACACAUUGGCCUUUUAAUAAAUCUUAACUUCAAUUUGCCCUCUCUUAAUACAAGAGGCGAUAAAGAUUAUUUUCAUCUUCAUAGUGUUCAGUACUCAGAGUUAGAAGGGUAAAUAUCCCUCCAAUUAGACUGACUGGGACACGUGCUUGAAGUCAGAGCAGCUAGCAGAAUACAGCAGCAAUUUGAUUUUUCCUAUUUUUGGUAGGUGCAGAGAAAAUGGAAGGAGAAAUGCUACUUCGACAGGAGAGACAAAAGCCCUGCUAUUUGUUUAUUGGUCCGAUUGUAAAGCUUUUUGAGCCUCUGCUGUUUGCUAGGCACCAUGCUAGAUGUGGGAUACGAAGAUCACUUAGUCUUAGGCAUAGCCCCUGACUUUCAGGAGAAAGAGGUAGUAAACACACGACCCGCACGCAGCCUAGCCACAAGGUGCAGUGAGAGAACAGGGAGGCACCAGUGUGCUAGCGCUUUGCCUUGGAAGCUGUGGAAGCGCUUUUGUGACCAUUCAUCUUAAGUAUAUUCCUAUAUAUUUCCAAAUAUUUCCAGUAAUUACAGAUGGGUGUAAAACAGUGGUCACUUCUAUAGCUCUUUCCAUAGCAGGUGCUGUUCUAAGCCCUACAUGUGUAUUAGCUGAAAUCCUCACAAAAGCCUUAAGAGAGAUGCUGUUAACAUCUGUGUUUUAGAAUUGAGGAAACUGAGGCAGAGAUGGUUUAUGGAAAGUGUGCAGGUUGCAAACCUUGUACGGGGCUGGAGUAGGAGCCUGUGUAUGUAGACUCUUUUCUACCAACUCAGGCACAGAGAACAACAGAUACAAAAAGUCUCAGGUCCCAAAGUCUGUGUAUUCUGGUCAACAAAACUCUUCAUAAAAUCAAGCCAGUUGUGCUUUUGUGAGCUUCAUCUUGAAUCACAUAAAUGCAAUCAGUCCAGCUUCUUUCUUUGAAAGGCUGGAGGUGGGAGGUGGCUGGUGUUUGCUCAGACACGGACAGACCUUAAAGGUCCUAGAAUCACCCCUGGAAGGAUAGUGGAAAAACGAGAUAAUUUUCUUUUCCUCUAUUGCUUUAAGUGGUAUCAGAAAGGUAGAUUUCUGUCAUCUUCCUAUAUAUUUUCAAAGAAGGAGCCUUCCUUGGCAAAAUACAAGUUUCUGUGGCUGCUGGCGUCAGAAAGAGUUUCCACCAUCAUCACAGGCCUUCAUCUUGCAGGUAAGCUCAGACAUGCUCACCCUCUUACUGACGUUGCUGAGCAUUGCUCAUGAUGUGGAAUAGAAUUUCUACAUCAUCCAUGCCCAUAGUGUGACAUCAAAACCAGCAUGUCCUUUGCAGCCCUUAAAUACACACAUGAGAAUGCACACACACAGACACACACACACCCCACAAAACAAAACCGCAGCCCUGCCUUGCUUUUGCCUUCUAGCUUGACCAUUUUAGGGCAACCUGUCUUGGUGUGUUCCCAGGGACCAGAAGCUUCUGUGUAACUUAGGCAGUAAAUCAGGGUGUCAGCUAGCACUCACCUUGUCCCCCUAAGCUUCCAUUUCCUCACUUGUAAAAGGAGGAACUGAGUACUAUUUUAGGCUUCAUGCUUCCUUCCUGUACCAGGCUUCUCAGAUGCCCCAGAGGCCAGGGCAGUGGAGCCCAGACUCUGGGGGCCCGGGGCCUGCACUGUGGGUCAUAAAGGCAGAGGGAGAUGCACAGCCUCAGGCUCAAGAGCUUCAGGCCAUUAUUUUAAAAUAAAAUCUUUUUAUCUUGAAAUAAUGAUAGACCUAGGAAGCUACACAACGAGUACAGAGGUGUCCUGUGUACUUUCACCCACUUCCCUUCAUGGUAAUAUCUUACGUAACCGAGUAUCAAAACCUAGUCAUUGACACUGGUGUACUCUACAGACUGUAUGCAGGUUUUAGCAGUUUUCACACACACACACGUGUUUGCUCAUGUAGUUCUAUGCAGUUUUACUGCAUGUAAGCACCACCAUAUAGAUCCUGGCUGGGCGUGGUGGCUCAUGCGUGUAAUCCCAACACUUUGGGAGGCCUAGGCAAAAGGAUCGCUGGAGCCCAGGAGUUCAAGACCAGCCUGAGCAACAUAGGGAGACCCUGUUUCUACAAAAGUAGAGGCCAGCACCCUUCCUUGCCAGUGCAAACGUUUCUUGCAAUGUUCAGGGCCCUGGAGCCAAUCUUGGCCAUACACAGAAACCUACAGAACAAGCAUGAAAUCUUUUUUUAAAAAAAUUUUUUAACUUUUAAAGGACACACAAUAAUUAUCCAUAUUUAUGGAUUUGCUUCCUAAAUGCUUUCUAGUAUGAGAGCAACUUAGCUUAUUUUUCUCCUUGGCCUCCCUACAUGUGCUAAUGAGUUGUCUGUGGCUGCCUCCAAUCCCCCAGCAGACCAACAGGAGGAAAAAAACUCAAUUUGCACUUUUCCUAGGAAACAAUCCUGUUGGCAGAGCGGACUCAUAAAACCCCUCCUUUUCUGUGCUAGCGUGCUGCCGAGGGGCCCACGUGACACUGCUUCUGAAUGUGGCCUCCUCUCGGUUGAGGCCCUCGAAGGAAGAGAAACCGUGUAAGGAAGUGCAUAGAGAAUAAGAGACCCCGUGUCUCCAGGGUGUGGAAUCCCAGGCUUCCUUCCUAAAGAUGCCAUGGAGCUUCCCCAAGAAGGCAGAGUGGAUACCCAGCGGGAGUUCCCACCCAGAUGUCUUGAACUGGAACCAGGGAAGUCAAAUUCUACAUUCCCAAAGCCAAUUCGCCAUUUCUUUCUGCAUCUCUUACGUCAAUGAGAUGAAGCCAGAACGGGUCUGCUGGAUGCCAGAAAUCUGCAAUAGAGCUCUCCUGGAUAGGAAGGAGGGAGGUGCUUCUACGGGAAACCCUGAAUUUGCUUGUACUUUAUCUUCAUGUAACACAGACCAUCCGGGAAUAGGAUCCCGGGACCAUGAAUAAUGUGAGAUUACAAGCUCUUACAGGUGGAUGCUGGAGGGAAAAGCAGAGCUGCCAUUGGCUUGGUCUCUCUGCCAGCAAAAUAAAUUCCUGACCAAGGAAAGGACUCAUUUUUCUGCCUCCAGAACCAACACACCCUAGCAUUCCCUUCCUGAUUAGAGGAAUAAAAAAUACUUCUGCUAAAGAUAUAAAAAGAAUUACAUUGAAAGAUAGCAAGUUGCCACGAAAAAUAAGACAGGAAAUUGGAUUUCAGAUGAAUAAAGGAGACGAGUGCACCCGUUGAACAAUCACAGCCUUCCCCCGCAGACCUGCACACAAGUUAAACACCACGUGUGAGUUUCUUCUGCUUCACAGCAAAGUUUAAAGGCCCUGGCUCAACACUGUGCCGUUCUCUGUAACACCAUUGCUGUAACCAUUUGGAUAUUGUUCAGCCUUUUUUUGCCAUCUGUUCAUGUGUCUUCAGAACAUAACAUUUAAAAACUGUUAGUGUGCAUGGAAAUAUUACCAGACAAAACUGAUACAACGAGAGCAAUUAGUCUAAAUACCUUUGCCUAGGCUUAAGCUGCUGAAAACUGGAGAAAGAAAGCAAGCACUGGGCUGGUAAACAUUUUCUAACACAGGAGACAUAAAUAAUGGAUAUUCAUAAGUUUGUAAUUGCAAAAAAGUGGAAAGAACCUAAAUUUUUAUCAAAAGGAGGAGGGACACAAUUGUAGUCGAUACAUAUAAUGAUGUAAUGUACCUCCAUGAAAAUGAAUUAACUAAAGCAAUGCAUGCUAGCUAUCUCUUGAAAUAAUGUAAUAAAUUAGUCUCCAAAUAAAUUGCUAAUUCAA